AUUGAACGCUGGCGGCAUGCCUUACACAUGCAAGUCGAACGGCAGCACGGGUGCUUGCACCUGGUGGCGAGUGGCGAACGGGUGAGUAAUACAUCGGAACGUACCUUAUCGUGGGGGAUAACGCAGCGAAAGCUGUGCUAAUACCGCAUACGCCCUGAGGGGGAAAGCGGGGGAUCGCAAGACCUCGCGCGAUUAGAGCGGCCGAUGCCUGAUUAGCUUGUUGGUGGGGUAAAAGCCCACCAAGGCGAGGAUCAGUAGCUGGUCUGAGAGGACGAUCAGCCACACUGGGACUGAGACACGGCCCAGACUCCUACGGGAGGCAGCAGUGGGGAAUUUUGGACAAUGGGGGCAACCCUGAUCCAGCAAUGCCGCGUGAGUGAAGAGGGCCUUCGGGUUGUAAAGCUCUUUUGUCAGGGAAGAAACACCGGCUCUAACACAGUCCGGGAAUGACGGUACCUGAAGAAUAAGCACCGGCUAACUACGUGCCAGCCGCCGCAGUAA
rnacentral:rRNA from 1 species